rnacentral:rRNA from 1 species
GAUGACGCUGGCGGCGUGCCUAAUACAUGCAAGUCGAGCGAGCGGCGGACGGGUGAGUAAUGUCUGGGAAACUGCCUGAUGGAGGGGGAUAACUACUGGAAACGGUAGCUAAUACCGCAUACCAUCAGAUGUGCCCAGAUGGGAUUAGCUAGUAGGUGGGGUAACGGCUCACCUAGGCGACGAUCCCUAGCUGGUCUGAGAGGAUGACCAGCCACACGGGAACUGAGAAACGAGCCAGACUCCUACGGGAGGCAGCAGUGGGGAAUAUUUCACAAUGGGCGAAAGCCUGAUGCAGCCAUGCCGCGUGUAUGAAGAAGGCCUUCGGGUUGUAAAGUACUUUCAGCGGGGAGGCGUUACCCGCAGAAGAAGCACCGGCUAACUCCGUGCCAGCAGCCGCGGUAAUUC